rfam:Oryza glumipatula chromosome 4, whole genome shotgun sequence.
AGAAAGACAAACCAUGAGUUUCCGUGUCCAAUUUUAACUGUCCGUCUUAUAUGAAAUUUUUUAUAAUUCGUAUUUUCAUUGUCGUUAGAUGAUAAAACAUGAUUAAUAUUUUAUGCGUAACUUGUCUUUUUAAUUUUUUUUAUAAUUUUUUUCAAAUAAGACGGACGGUCAAACAUUGGACACGGAAACCAGGGUUUGUAUUUUUU